GCAUGGUUAUUCCAAUACGUAUGUUUGCCUCUUCCCCACCAUGAUCUCCGUUUGGUUUCCCCUUGCCUGAUAACUAUUUAAAUACAUUUUACUAACUUCGGAUUCCUUGCUCAUUUCACUUCACCUGGCUGGGCAGGUCUGCGAGGGCUCAAGGGUUAGCUCCUCCACUUUUGCUGUUUUAUUUAUUUUUCAGUCAUCAUUUUUAUUAAGAUAACCAUGUUCAGAAGAAGAGUCUGACACACAUAAAUAAUGGGAAGUGCUAAUAGUAAGCAGGUUGCUGUAAAACUUGCUGGGGCUUUGACUUAAGGGAAGAAAGUGCAACCCUGUGCUAUCCCUAUCAGGAAGCUGGAGCACAGAAGAGUUCACUUAAGAUCAAAAAAAUGCUGAAGCUCAGAAACAUCCUGGGACACUACUUCUAUCAAAUUUACAUCACUGGACUAUUUCUACCUUCUCAGUAAAGAUGGUUAGAAAAGAAGCCAAAUACAAGUAUGUGAGUGAGUUCUAAAGAGAAGAAGCAAAUUAUGUGGCAAGUAUGUACCUGUAUUUCCCAUUUUUAUAAUAGUUAAGGAUCAAAACCAGGAGCAGGAUGGUCUUUAAUUUGUCUUGUCUUUUAUCUUGCUGCAUUAUACACAAAAAUUGGGGGGGGAGGUAAAACUCACUUUUGAAAAAUCUUUGUACAAAGUAAGAUGGAGAAGCUCUGUUAAGCUUAUUUUAUUUCUGGUGUAAAUCUAUUGUAGUUAUGCAUAAGUCAUUGGAAUUGCACGGCUGGAAAAACAGGAUAUAGAUUCACUAUGACACUUGGAGUCUAAAAAUAGGUUGGCUGAGAUUUUUUUAAAUAGAAAAGGAAGGUGAGGAGUGUUUUCAUUUGAAAAAAAACUGAGCCCAAGUAAUUCAGCUGAUAAGCUGAUUAAGCUCAGCUCUGACUUUUCAUAUUUUGGCCAGCACCAAUAGGGAAAAACAGACCCUUUCCAAGAGUCUCACUGAGAUGGGCAAAGGUAGAAUCAUAGAUUUGGACAGCUGGAGAGGCUGAAAUCCAGAUCUGAAUUUCAUUGCUCAGUUCUACAGAGGAUCCAAACUUGAGAUGGAGAUAUCUUCCACU
rnacentral:lncRNA from 1 species